rnacentral:rRNA from 1 species
GCGGAGGAAAAGAAACCAACAGGGAUUGCCCCAGUAACGGCGAGUGAAGCGGCAACAGCUCAAAUUUGAAAUCUGCCCUUCGGGUCCGAGUUGUAAUUUGCAGAGGAUGCUUUUGGCGAGGUGCCUUCCGAGUUCCCUGGAACGGGACGCCUUAGAGGGUGAGAGCCCCGUACGGUUGGACACUAAGCCUCUGUAAAGCUCCUUCGACGAGUCGAGUAGUUUGGGAAUGCUGCUCUAAAUGGGAGGUAAAUUUCUUCUAAAGCUAAAUACCGGCCAGAGACCGAUAGCGCACAAGUAGAGUGAUCGAAAGAUGAAAAGCACUUUGAAAAGAGGGUUAAAUAGCACGUGAAAUUGUUGAAAGGGAAGCGUUUACGGCCAGACCUUCUCCUGGCGGAUCAUCCGGUGUUCUCACCGGUGCACUUCGCUAGGUUUAGGCCAGCAUCGGCUUCCGUAGGGGGAUAAAAGCAGUGGGAAAGUAGCUCUCUCGGGAGUGUUAUAGCCCUAAGCAUAAUACCUUUACGGGGGCCGAGGACCGCGCUUCGGCAAGGAUGCUGGCGUAAUGGUCGUCAACGACCCGU